UUUUUUUUUUUUUUUGGUUCCUUGUGGAACCCCUAUGAUGUGAAUGUUGCUGCAUUUAAUGUUGUCCCAUGGGUCUUGUACACUCUCUUCAAUUCUUUUCAUUCUUUUUUCCUUAUUUUUUUUCUGCCAUUCAGUGAUUGGCUCCACUCUGUCUUCCACCUCACUUAAUUGUUCUUCUGCCUCUGUUAACCUGCUAUUGGUUCCUUCUAGAGUAAUUUUCAUUUCAGAUAUUGUGCUAUUCAUCUCGCUCUUUAAAUCCUCUAGCUCUUUGCUAAAAUUUCUUUUGAGUUCUCCAUCUGUGUCUCCAUUCUUUUUCCAUGAUCUUGGAUCAUCUUUAUUAUCAUCACCCUGAAUUCUUUUCCAGGUAGAUUGCCUAUCUCUUCAUCAUUUAGUGGUUUUUGUGUGUUUCUGUCUUGUUCCUUUGUCUGAAAGCUACUUCUUGUCAUCUCAUAAUGUCUACUGUUUAUGUCCCCUUAACAGCCGGUGUGUAGCUGCAGUAGCAGAUGCCUGGUCCUGGAGUUCUUAGGGGUGGUAGCAGUUCACAUGUACCCAGAGCAUGUGUUGGGAGCAGCAUAAUCACAGUCCCUCUCCUGGUGCUGGGUGGCUGCUAGGGAUGGGGUCUGUGAGGCAGAUGGCAGUUAUUCAUAAUUCAUAGGACUGCUUUUGAAACACAAAGGGAUAGCAGUGUCUCCUGUAACCCCUCCUGUUACCAAGUAGCUUUCACUUGUUUUUCAAGGAAAGAAGGUAAAAACAUCAAAGCCAGAAAUUUAUACUUGGAGACAUGUUCAGAAAAGUUUAAAAAGUAGGAUAUAAAUACUGCCUUGCUUUUACCUAGUUCAGAGUUUAGCAUUUUAUUAGCAUCUUUCCUACAGUAAUUAUUCUACUCAGAGGUAGAAAUUAUGCUCAGUUAAGUGGCAUUGGCCCUACAUUCCAGUGAAUGCAUAAGAUUAGAAACACUGCAAACUUUCUAAAGACUUUGUUAAAAUCUAUAGACCACCACAAAAAAUCUUAUUGGUUUCAAAUAGCAUGGUUAAUCUGUAGGGAAACUGUAGUACCUGUAUACUGCUAGAUACUUGUGUUCUGUAGGGCCAGAAUACAAUAUUUGAUUUUAAUUUUAAAGAGAAUGUUAACUUUCAGAGCAUUAUAUGGGGCCUGUGUUUGUUGCUAAACAACUCGGCACAUGUUGCUUUGCAUUUCUGUGCAAGCCCCAUAUUAAUCACAGCCUGUUGUAAUCUAACUGCUGAUUGUUUUGAAGGAUAAGGAGAAAUGCAUCUGGUUUCCAGUGAAUCCCAUGCAUUCAAAUUGCUGUUAAAAUGACAGAAGUCGAGUCACAGCAGCUAAAAUGUGGCAGCUCCAUACCUGGGAACACUAAUGUGAAGGAGCAUUACCCCCGUAUGGAUGUAUUUGGUGGAGAAAUGUUUUUAACUUGUUAAGGAACACAAUUAAUUCAAAUUUGAGAAUGAGAAGUUAUAAUCAUUAAAGGCAAUUUCAUUUCUGAGCCACUUACAGAGACAGAAAAUAUGACAUAGCCUUCAUAAAACUGUAAAUUGCAUCUGAUUUGAACUUCAUUCGAAACUCCAGAGUGUGAGCAAACUCUGAGUUUCCUGUUAAAUAUAAAAGUUUAAAUGAGAAUUCAGAACCCAGGAGACGGCUGAUUGACAAUGCACAAUCUCACUGAAGCUUGAGUGGGUAUACACCAGCACAGUUAAUCAAAACUCCGUUCAGCUGCCAGCUCUUUAUGCAUUCGUCAGAGCCCAGCAGAGAGCUUUCCAGGCAGAAGAUUCACAUGUCAAGGCUUGAGCUUUGUUUUCCUUGACACUCCAAGAAGAUUAGUGCACGCCAGAUCUGUGCAGCCCAGGAACUGGGCAUUGACGGUGGAGAUCUGUGCCAUCAAGUGUCAUGGCCUCAUGUUCCAUCAGAAAUGGAAAGGCUGCCACCAAGGUUAUUGGUGUCAUAUGGUUUGAAGAGAAAUAUUUUGUUUCAAACAUGUGUCAAGAGAGAGAAAGAGGAUACUUCUUACACUCAUAGCAGGGUAUCAUCAGCCUUCACCACCCAACAACACCCACUGCUCCCCUGACACUUAUAUUCAUAGAGUAUAUAGGAAAGUAUGUGGGCGAGUGUGUUGGUUUUAUGAAAAUAAGAAAAAUCUUUUUGUUCCUACUCUGAUUAAAUCUGAAAUCUACUCUGAGUUAUACUUCAACCUAUAAAAACUGCCACACCUAGAUAUCCUUAAUAAUUUUGUCCAACACUUGAAAAUUCAUUACCUUCGAAGGUAAAUACACAUGACCUCAUCCAAAGUUUAAAGUUUUCAUUGAACAUAGAACUCAAAUGAGGUGUGUGUGGAUUCAAUUGUACAGGUAGUUGUACCCAGAAUCUACGUUGCCCUGGCUUUGUAACUUGCCUAUGAACAUGUACUGUGUGACUUAGCUGAUAAUAAACUUGCCAGGCUUUGUUUCAAACUAUGUGUCUUGUUAACACCUUACUGAGCUACAAAGAAUUGCCUUCUUAGUCUCAUUCCAAAUUGAUUUUCUCAGCAUCUAUUGUGGACAAGGAGCUUGCAAACUCCUGAAGAACUCAUAAAUGGAAGUGCUCAUCCUCUUUCUCCUUGGAUAAUAGAUAUCACAUUACCACUCUAAAGCACCGUUUCCAUGGCAGGAAAGAUAUUUGAGAAAAGAACCAGUGUGACAACCCUUAAAGUACCAGAGAUUGUGUUGUCCAGGACAGCUGAGAUAAGGCAAGUGCCAUUGAAACAUCUCCCCUUAUUUUAUCUCAUAGGAAAUACCACAAACCAGAAACACUUGUGAAAAUAUUUGUAGCAUCUCCUCAGGCUCUGAGCACUUCUUAUGUGAAAUUGUGCUGGUUGGGUCAUGCUCAGUCCUUUCAUAUUCAUUCCAUCUCUGCUGCCCAAUUCAUAGUAAUAAUGAUGCUUCAUUUGAAUAGUGUUGAUGGUUUUCAGUGGUUGGACUCGCUCUUUUUUUUUUUUUUUUCUUCUUCUUUUUUAGGACCACACCUGCAGCAUAUGGAAGUUCCCAGGCUAGGAGUUGAAUUGGGGCUUCAGCUGCUGGCCAUAAUCACAGGCAUAGCAACACCUGAUCCGAGCCGUGUCUGCUACCUACACCACAACUCAUGGCAGUGCCAGAUCCUUAACCCAAUGAGGAUUGAACCCACGUCCUCAUGGAUACUAGUUUGGUUCAUUACCACUGAACCACAACGGGAACUCUGUAGAAAGAUUAUUUUUGAUGCCUUCUUCUGCUGAUCUGUAUUGUCACUAUGGACAUACCCACAGGCCUUGUAAAGCCUUGCUGGCAGCAACCCCAGAGGACAGAGGACUCUAGGGGCACCUGAUGUCUUUGGGGGCUUGCUUAACUUUCAUCCUAAGAGAGGCUAAAAGGUGGGUCACUGAGGGCCUCUCCCUUCUCCCAGUCUGCCUUUCUCGAGGGCUGAAAACUAGCAAAGUAAACUGGAGAAAGCUGAGGGAGAUACCAAGAAAAAGAGGAAACAAUUGCUUUUCUUUGAAAAUAGUUAAAAUAGAAAUUGCCCUAAUUUUAACAAUGCAUGAAACUUUGUCAGCUACCAGGAGUGGAUGGAUUGCCUUCUGCUUCACAGGGAAAUAUUCAAUAUAAAUAACUUAAAUAACAUUCAAGUGAUAAAUUUUUUUUAAACGAUUCCAAAAUAGAGACUCAUGCAUUUGAGCCAUGCCUUAGAAAUGUGCCUACAAACCAUUGUUGGACUUGACCCUGGUGAAUCCACAGAGGGGAGGAAAUGUGUACCACAAGAAAGAAUAGAAUGUUUUAUUCAUGGAAUGACAUCAAGAGUAUUAAAUAUAUUAUUCUAAAUGAGCCUUAUUUUACUUUAGCAGAUGGUAAGUAAUUUAUCUAAGUUACGAGCAUAUUGUUAGAAAUUCAUCACGCAAAGUGUACUAUCAAUCAUAUUUUAACCUUUUCAUGUGUAAGGAAUGAAGGUAUUUCAUUCUAGACCCUUGAAUGUCCUACAAGGUAUCAUGUAUGUUAGCAAUUCCAUUUGGAAAGAAUUACCUUGAAAGAAAGAGUAAUUGUAAAAAGCACAGAGUUUAAAUGUAAAUGACCUCAUUGUGGUGUGUGAGGGAGGAAGUGAAAUAGUGAAUGAUAUGAGUGAUGGUGGAGUUCUAAACUGAGACUGUGGGGAAGCCAAUAAGAUUAUUUUUACCCUAUUCAAAAAUAUUUUCAAGUUAAAUUCUGAAUUGAAACCAUCAACAAACAACUAGCAUCACUGUUUUUGAUUGGGAAACAUUAGCAUUGUGGUUAAGAAAGUUGUUUUGAAGUCAAACUAGACUUCCUAAAUCAUUAUUUGGUUAGUCCUUAGAAUAAAUACCUCGUCUUUCAGAGUUAUUUUUACUUUAUUUUAAGAUAGCCUCUGGUUUUUUGACAGGUGGUGCUAAUAGUGAGGUUACUGUGGGCUUAUAGUGCAUACAUUACAUGUAUACCCUUACGUAUGUACAACUUUGUGGGUUGUGGGCUUUUGUAAUCCCCGUUUUAUAGUUUAGGGGUCAAAAUAUGUGCAAAAUAUGUGCAUUCAUGGGUGUGCAAAAUAUUCUUGAGAGAAACUGAAGACCCAAAUAAAUGGAACAAUUCAAUGUCUAUGGUUUGGAAGAUUUAAUAUAUUAAAAUGUCAAUUCUUCCUAAACUGGUACAAUGCAGUCCUAAUAAAAAUACCUGUAGAGGUUUUUUUUUUGAUAGAAAUUUUAAAAACUUAUCUAUCCUAAAACUUAUGUAGAAAAUCAAAGGACUUGUAAAAGUCUCAAUAAAUUUAAAAAACAAAACAUCAAUGUUGGAACUCUUGCAGUACUU
rnacentral:lncRNA from 1 species